rnacentral:tRNA from 1 species
GCAAUGGUGGCUCAGUGGAAGAAUUCUUGCCUUCCAUGCAGAAGACCUGGGCUCAAUUCCCAGCCUUUGUA